rnacentral:rRNA from 1 species
AUUGAACGCUGGCGGCAGGCCUAACACAUGCAAGUCGAGCGGAGCGGGGGACGGGUGAGUAAUGCCAAGGAAUCGGCCUGGUCGUGGGGGAUAAGGUCAGGUAACGGGCGCUAAUACCGCAUCCUAUCAGAUGAGCCUAGGCCGGAUUAGCUAGUUGGUGGGGUAAAGGCAUACCAAGGCCACGAUCCGUAACUGGUCUGAGAGGAUGAUCAGUCACACUGGAACUGAGACACGGGCCAGACUCCUACGGGAGGCAGCAGUGGGGAAUAUUGGACAAUGGGCGAAAGCCUGAUCCAGCCAUGCCGCGUGUGUGAAGAAGGUCUUUGGAUUGUAAAGCACUUUAAGUUGGGAGGCGUUACCAACAGAAUAAGCACCGGCUAACUUCGUGCCAGCCGCCGCGGUAAUAC